AGCCACCAACCAUUUACCCCAGGCAGAGCUCUGUCCCCAGGAAACACCUGAGCUGGCUGUGGAGCAGCAGGCUGGGGAUCCAGAGACUGAAUGAAGUUGUUGUUUGUAAGCAGGGUAGAGAGAGCAGAGUUUCUCCCAUCACCUAAGGCUUUCCCUUUCUCCACACAUGGCAGGUGUCUGAUGGCUGAAUGGUCUAGGGACUGCACUUUGAGUUUUCCUACUUCUUAAUUUCCUUUUUUUCAAUGCUACAGGUUUGUUUUGUGUUUGUUUGUGGUGUUUUUUUCCCCUACUAAUCUGUUGUGAUAGUGGAAACAUUGCUAGGGGAAGGAAAAAAAAGCACAAACCUAAACUGUAACUCCCAACAUCCAGAUGCUUUGAAACACUUUCAAGUUUUGCAGAACUGGAUAAGCAAACAAAAGGGAAAAAAACAA